UACAGGGACACACCUGCCCCAGUUUGUGCCAGUGUGGGCUCAAUGUCCAGGUCCACCCACGGGCUAAUGUUAGCACGGAGUAUUGAGCAAUGCCUGAGCAUUGGGAUUUUCCAUCUCUGCAGAGAACUAGCUUAAUGUAGCCAUUGAAGAUAAAGCUGUGCUGCUCAGGACAGCAGGGGAUUAUAAAGUCUAUAAGAAAUACUUUGCCACAGAGUUUUCAGAGCGAUGUAUUAUCCUUGUUCAUCUGCCUCCUCGAAAUUAACAUCCACCUGAGCAACUCUCUGCACCUUGGCUAAAGGCCAACCAUGUUCUCAGCCCAAGGCAGGGAAAAGGAAGGCUCAGGACUGCUCCCAAGAAACUGCCAUCACAAUGGAGUCAGUGACAGCCUCCUGAAACCCAUGGGAAGGCCAGGUCUUAAAUCAUCACAGAUUUUGAGCUUUGAUUUGUUACUCACCAGGAUCCUUGCUGGAAGAAACACGUGGACUUGGAAAAAGUGAGUCUUGAAGGGUGACUUAAAAAGAAGAUGGUAUUAGUGCUUCUGGCUCUGGAUGGUACUCUGAGAGAGCCUACUCUGCCCCCCUGCCCAGUGUGCUCAGUGAGGGGGUAGGGCUGGAGUCACUCCAGAGUGUGGUAUUUUAGUAUUCAAAUGCCCUGAACCAGCCAUAAACCUCAGUGACUUUUCCUCACGAACAAAGGCAUUUGUGUAGGGGCUGCAAACAUGGAAACAGUGUCUUUUGCAGCACCAGUGGAUGUCAGUUCAGGGGUGUGAGGAGUGGAGGCAGCAUGUCUGGUUUCAGGGAAGUUCACUGUGUUCUACCAGUAGUUAUUUUCAGGCUUUGGGCUGCAAUUUUGCUUUGUCUCCAGCUACAACUCUUGACCCUUUGCCAUGAAUUCUCUUUCUUUUUUCCUACUCCUAUUCAGCAUAACAGGAGCAAGCAUUGUGUUUGGUUUUCAAAUGUAACAAAUUGUUUGAACUCACCACCUUCUCCCUUGGGAAAAAUGGGAUUACAAAUAAAUAACGAAACAUUUUUAAUUAUCAGAAGUCCUCAGCAUCUCUGACUGAGGUCAUUUGGAGCCUUCCCAUUGACACUGAUGCCAGUUAUUGCUGGAUAAAGGACAGGGAGUUGUGCAUAAUGGUUAAAUAAACUUUUUUUUUAAAUCUGUGCCUUUUUGAAAAUUGACAUAGAACAUGGGAGACAGAGAUGAGGAUUAAAUAAAUAUCUGAAUAGAUAAAUCAAUGGUAAUAUGCUUAAACAGGUAGGAUGAGUUAUCAGGAACUUCAUAACAGCUUGCUGAAAGUAUUUAAGACUCUCAGUCCACUUGUAAAUGUAAUUUUAAAUUUUGACAAGAGGAACAAUAUUGUCUACAACCAGGAGACAGUACAUGAGUAGGAUCAGGAGAGUCUGCUUUUAUGUUUCAUUCACAGUACCUCACUGAAUGUAGCACCUUGAUAUGUGUGAAACAAAAGUGUCUUCAUUUGGAUCUAUAAUUCUACUGCAGGAUUGAGGGAAGGCUGUCCUAGCUCCAAUAAAAUUCUAAAAUAUCUUUUUACACAGCUAUCCAAUACUACCCACGCUCACUGAACAUCAGGGUAAAAUUGCAUUUGCCCUGUCUUCUGACAGCCACUCUCAAAGAAGGUGCUCACAGAAAGAAAUCAUUUUCAUCCACUUACACCAUUUUGACAAUCUGGCUCCCUGUUUUAUCCCCAGAUUGUUCUAAUGUGAUCCAUAGGAUACAAAUGCAGUGCCUCUGUCUCUGUCCUUGCAUUUUCUUCUUCCAGCACAUUUUCCAGUAAUCUUGUGUCAUAAAUAAAUAAACCAAACAACGUAUAUUAUUACCUCUCACUGUUCUGUGUCUGCUAUCCAACAUUACUUCAUAACCCACUGAGGUUAUUAGGGGAUUUUUAGAAGGCAUUUCUGGAAAUGCUGUUCAGAUGUAAUUCCACUGGACUAAAGGAAAUAUUUUUUGACUUUGUGCUGUUCUGUGUCACAGCCAAAUUCAUGUCUGGGUAGACAUUAUUUCUUACUUUUGCCAGAUAAGACAGUGGUACAACAAUACCACUGUCUCUGCAUUCCUCAUAUUUAGGGAUCACUGGUUCAGCAAGCUCUAACUAACAUGCUGUUAGUUGUCUCUAAGAAACAUAUCAAAGGUGAGAUAACCAAUGCCAGGAUUCACUUUUGUGGAUCCUAAACUCUUUUUCAUUACAAGUAUGAAUUAGUGAUUAGUCAGAAAUCUUUGCACUGGGACUGUAUUUACCUUCACAUCUUAGGGGGUCCAUUUGCCUCUCAGAGUUCCUAUUUCCAUCCAAAUGAUAGUUUCCCUAAUAUGAAUUGGUUUUGAGCUAUUCUGUAGGUCGUAAGUUAAGAUUCUUAUUUGUCUAGAUGAUAUUAAAUAAUUCUUUCUCUGCAGGGAAACUGGAUUCAUGGACUGCAGCUACUGAAAAAUUACCAUUGACAAUAAACUGAUCUAGAUCUUAUUUCUUAUGUCAGUCUGUUACUCAUAAAUGGAGUAGACUCAAAGGAAAAUUAAUUACACUGUCCUAAGCUCUGCACCUACAUCGACAAUCAUGGUCUUCCUUCAUCAACUUAGAGAACUCCUGGAGGUCCAAAGCAACUGAUCCUGCAGACCUGCUUGUUCACAUGACUGAGGGACUUGGAGGCUAGUGCUUCUAGGAACUCCAUUUCCAUCCUGCUGCAGUCCAUAGGUUUUCAUAGCAGACCCUCUGGCUGUUAUUUUUCUUCAAUUUGACAGAGUUUGGAGGCACUUGGGACCAUCGGAUAAGCAGAGAAGCCAGGUAGACUUGUUGAAAAUAUCAACAAUUUAAUUGUUUACUCUGAAACCUGGUGACACUAAUUAAAAAUGUCAAUAUUGUCAACAAUUCAAUAACAUUUCCAAUGAAAAGCACAGAUAUUUGGAACUACAGAAAAAUAUUAUUUGUAAAAAGCUGGUCAUAAAAUAAAUUUACCCUUUCUUAGGGAAUUCUAAUAUCUCUAGGAGAUUCUUAAAUAUCAGUUUAAAACCUCUAACUUUUAAGUGGAGGGCUGGUGUGGCAAUAAUGCCUUCAAGUCCAGAAAGCUGUGAUGACUUGCUUCAUUUAAUAGGACAGAAGUAUUUGAUGCUGACUCUUGCAAUUUAUCCUAUUCUGAUUUCUAUAUGAAAGUAUUAUUAUAAUAUAUUGCAAAAGGCUAAGUCAGAUACCUGAGGAUGGCUGACAAAACUCAGGGGUUUUUUCUGGUUGAAAUUAAUUAUUUUGAUAUGACUGAAAUAAAAUUCAUAAGUAAAUAAUGCUUCCAGCUUUUCUUUCCAAAAUUCUUUUUUUGGGAAAAAACAACAACAAAAACAAAAUCCAACCUUGAUUCAAACUCUGAUGAAACUGCAGAUUCUGGAAAAAGCUAUUUCAUUUGAGAAAUGUCAUCAACCUCUAUCUUGGGGCUCAUUCAGGCAAUUUAAUGCAUACAAAGCUAACACUUGCAAUCUAGAAGGACUAGCAAUACAUUUUUUAAAGGGAAAUUCAUCUUGGAAAAUACUAGAACUGUAACACUGUAGGAUGUCUGUGGCAUCAGGCCAAGUACUUGAUAUUAGCUGUUAAUUGGAACUCAAAUUCUUACUCCUUUUUGUGGGCAUCUGUGCCUGAAAAGUGAUGAACCUAGGGCAGUUCUGUGCAGGACUGGAUGCUACAGGAGUCCCUUAAAACCACUGCUAUAAAUGGUUACACCUCAUUAGCAAGAGGCUCGUGUCUAAUUUCCAAAUCCUGGUAGAACAGAAAGUCAGAGUUCAUUUAUCUUAGACUUUAACAGCCCAGAGCAUUAGCAGAAAGCCCAGGUGGGUAGAGGACAUGUUCCUGUGCUGGUGAGCUAUGCAAUGGAUCUCAGAUGAUCUGGGAGUGAAUAUCCAGCCCCAUGUCAUCCUGUGGUGAGCCAAAGACAUGAAUUUACUGAGUAUCAUUUCUUCUUCCUGGCAGUGAAGACAGGAAUAAAUGAGCAGUUAGUACCGAGUUCUUCUCUAUUUAAAUCCUGCGACUUGCCCCACAGCAUCACACUUGAGAAUUUAAA